rnacentral:rRNA from 1 species
AUUGAACGCUGGCGGCAGGCCUAACACAUGCAAGUCGAACGCGUGGCGGACGGGUGAGUAAUGUCUGGGAAACUGCCUGAUGGAGGGGGAUCACCACUGGAAACGGUAGCUUAUACCGUAUACCAUCAGAUGCGCCCAGAUGGGAUUAGCUAGUGGGUGGGGUAACGGCUCACAAAGGCGGCGCUCCCUAGCUGGUCUGAGAGGAUGACCAGCCACACUGGAACUGAGACACGGUCCAGACUCCUACGGGAGGCAGCAGUGGGGAAUAUUGCACAAUGGGCGCAAGCCUGAUGCAGCCAUGCCGCGUGUGUGAAGAAGGCCUUCGGGUUGUAAAGUACUUUCAGCGGGGAGGCGUUACCCGCAGAAGAAGCACCGGCUAACUCCGUGCCAGCAGCCGCGGUAAUUC